AUACGGAGGGUGCAAGCGUUAUCCGGAAUCACUGGGUUUAAAGGGUGCGUAGGCGGCUAAAUAAGUCAGAGGUGAAAUCUUCCUGCUUAACGGGAAAAUUGCCUUUGAAACUGUAUAGCUUGAAUUAAGUUGAGGUUAGCGGAAUGUGACAUGUAGCGGUGAAAUGCAUAGAUAUGUCAUAGAACACCAAAUGCGAAGGCAGCUGGCUAGGCUUAUAUUGACGCUGAGGCACGAAAGCGUGGGGAGCGAACAGGAUUAGAAACCCUAGUAGUCC
rnacentral:rRNA from 1 species